rnacentral:rRNA from 1 species
AGAGUUUGAUUCUGGCUCAGGAUGAACGCUAGCGGCAGGCCUAAUACAUGCAAGUCGAGGGGCAGCAGGGGUAGCAAUACUCGCUGGCGACCGGCGCACGGGUGCGUAACACGUAUGCAACUUUCCUUCAACUGGAAGAUAGCCCGAAGAAAUUCGGAUUAAUAUUCCAUAGUUAUAUGAAAUGGCAUCAUUUUAUAUUUAAAGCUCAGGCGGUUGAAGAUGGGCAUGCGUUCGAUUAGCUAGUUGGUGAGGUAAUGGCUCACCAAGGCUACGAUCGAUAGGGGAUCUGAGAGGAUUAACCCCCACACUGGUACUGAGACACGGACCAGACUCCUACGGGAGGCAGCAGUAAGGAAUAUUGGACAAUGGAGGCAACUCUGAUCCAGCCAUGCCGCGUGAAGGAUGAAGGUCCUAUGGAUUGUAAACUUCUUUUGAACGGGAGAAAACCUUCGGUCGUGUACCGAAGCUGAUAGUACCGUUAGAAUAAGGGUCGGCUAACUUCGUGCCAGCAGCCGCGGUAAUACGAAGGACCCGAGCGUUAUCCGGAUUUAUUGGGUUUAAAGGGCCGUAGGCGGAAUGGUAAGUCAGUGGUGAAAUCUUGUGGCUUAACUGCAAAACUGCCAUUGAUACUGCCAAUCUUGAGUACAUUUGAUGUGGGCGGAAUGUGCCAUGUAGUGGUGAAAUACUUAGAUAUGGCACAGAACACCGAUCGCGAAGGCAGCUCACAAAACUGUUACUGACGCUGAGGCUCGAAAGCGAGGGGAUCAAACAGGAUUAGAUACCCUGGUAGUCCACGCCUUAAACUAUGAUUACUCGAUGUGUGCGAUACACAGUACGCGUCUAAGCGAAAGCGUUAAGUAAUCCACCUGGGGAGUACGGUCGCAAGAUUGAAACUCAAAGAAAUUGACGGGGGCCCGCACAAGCGGAGGAGCAUGUGGUUUAAUUCGAUGAUACGCGAGGAACCUUACCUGGGCUUGAAAGUUAGUGAAUGCUGUGGAAACAUGGCAGGCCGCAAGGACACGAAACUAGGUGCUGCAUGGCUGUCGUCAGCUCGUGCCGUGAGGUGUUGGGUUAAGUCCCGCAACGAGCGCAACCCCUAUCUUUAGUUGCCAGCGAGUAAUGUCGGGGACUCUAAAGAAACUGCCCGUGCAAACGGUGAGGAAGGUGGGGAUGACGUCAAGUCAGCACGGCCCUUACGUCCAGGGCUACACACGUGCUACAAUGGCGAGUACAAAGGGCAGCUACAUGGUGACAUGAUGCUAAUCUCUAAAACUCGUCUCAGUUCGGAUUGAAGUCUGCAAUUCGACUUCAUGAAGCUGGAUUCGCUAGUAAUCGAAUAUCAGCAAUGAUUCGGUGAAUACGUUCCCGGGCCUUGUACACACCGCCCGUCAAACAAUGGAAGCUGAGGGUACUUAAAGUCGAUAACCGCAAGGAGUCGCCUAGGGUAAAAUCGGUAACUGGUGUUAAGUCGAAACAAGGUA